ACCAGCGGCGAUAGCACGUUGAAUACACCAGUCCCCAAUGGAUAACUGAAGUUAAGCAACGUUGCACCUGGUUCAUAUCCAGAUGGGUGACCAUUUCGGUAAUCACGUCCUGCUGGCU
rnacentral:rRNA from 1 species